CGAUUGCGUGCUGGGCGACACGUUGGGCGUCUGGAUAUCGAUCAUCUUGUGACCGUCAUCCUGCACGUAUGAGAUUGGUGAUCAGUCUGUUGUCCUCUGCCUUGUCGUCCAUUCGACUGAGGGAGAUCCCGGUGCUGGAGAGGGAUGACACCGUGCUGGACAAAGUGCUGGAUCUUACAAAGUGAGUUGAGAUGUAAAGCGGGAGUGGGGGUGCGGGGGAGAGAGGAAAAAAAGGAGACGUGGAAGGAGAAGUGAAGAAGAGAGAGGGCCAGCUGCAGAGUGGGCAGGUCUGUAGGGUGAGUAGGGAACGGGAGCGCUUUUAGAAUGAAGCAUUAUGCGAUUGA